GACAGGAGAUGCAAGCGUUAUCCGGAAUGAUUGGGCGUAAAGCGUCUGUAGGUGGCUUUUUAAGUCCGCCGUCAAAUCCCAGGGCUCAACCCUGGACAGGCGGUGGAAACUACCAAGCUGGAGUACGGUAGGGGCAGAGGGAGUUUCCGGUGGAGCGGUGAAAUGCGCAGAUAUCAGGAGGAACACCGAUGGCGAAGGCAGGUCUCUGGGCAUUAACUGACGCUGAGGAGCGAAAGCAUGGGGAGCGAACAGG
rnacentral:rRNA from 1 species